CAGUGGGGAAUAUUGCACAAUGGGCGCAAGCCUGAUGCAGCCAUGCCGCGUGUAUGAAGAAGGCCUUCGGGUUGUAAAGUACUUUCAGCAGUGAGGAAGCGGGUACGUUAAUAGCGUUGCUCGGUUUGACGUUAGCUGCAGAAGAAGCACCGGCUAACUCCGUGCCAGCAGCCGCGGUAAUACGGAGGGUGCGAGCGUUAAUCGGAAUUACUGGGCGUAAAGCGCAUGCAGGUGGUUUGUUAAGUCAGAUGUGAAAGCCCGGGGCUCAACCUCGGAAUUGCAUUUGAAACUGGCAGACUAGAGUACUGUAGAGGGGGUAGAAUUUCAGGUGUAGCGGUGAAAAUGCGUAGAGAUCUGAAGGAAUACCGGUGGCGAAGGCGGCCCCCUGGACAGAUACUGACACUCAGAUGCGAAAGCGUGGGGAGCAAACAGGAUUAGAUACCCUGGUAG
rnacentral:rRNA from 1 species